GUAUAGCUGAGGCAGUACGCAUCUCUUGGGAGAUGUAUUAAAGUUAUGAGAGAAGGAAGAUAGCCAGACAGAAGGUCUUCUCUAGAGGAAGCUUUAACCCUCCCUCUCUGCAAAGGCAAGGAGAGAUGCGGGGGCCACUCCCUCGCCCCCGGUCCCCGCAGCUCCCACCGCUCCUCCUCUCCCCACUGCCAGGGCUCCGGCCGAGGCUCCCGGGGCAGCCGAGUCCCCUCCGCCGACGGGAGCGCGGCAGGGCUGCCAGGCGGGCAGUUUUGAAGAGUCGAUCUUCAUAAUAGAAAUCCCCCAGCUUCGCCUCCCCGCCAGCCGCGCGAGCCAGCUUUUUAAUUGAAUCCCGGGGAUUUGGCCGCAGCCGAAAGCCCCGAUUCGUGCACCAGUGUCGUGGGUCCCUGGGAAGCGGGCCAGUGGAUAAUUACCCCUCACUGCAAUCCGCAGAGCUGGCCUAAUCCGAAAGCUCAAGUGCCCGAUGAAGGCUGUAGCAAGUCAUUGACUCGAAGUCAGGACAAAGUCACUUGCAGAUUGCACGGUGGAAGAACAGCAGCCAGAGAAAGAUGUGAUCAGAUGGUCUUCGACUACAACAGGUGGGGACAGAGAAGUAAAUACAUCUCGAUGUAUAUCUCAUUGAUUGAUUAAAAUGUUGCUUAAGUAGCAGGAAGCUCUUUUGCCUUUUAGAUGCACUAAACGCCAAAACGGGAAGAUGAGUGAUAUAAGCAGCUAUUGGCUGGCUGCGUUCAAGAUGCGAUGCGUUCCAUUUAUUUUAAUCUCUCCUUCAUUUCGGAAGAAAGCUGGGGAGACGAGGGCAGAGCUACUUAUCACACCUCCGUGGGCACACGCAGUGCCCCGGAGUGCGGGAGCCCCCGGCGGCGCGGAGACAGGGAGCGCGCAGGAGGUGGCAGCGGGGGCGCGCCCUGCCCGGCCGAGCACCUUCCUCCUCCCCUUAUCCCCUCACAGCCUGCACUUCUGCAACGAGAAAAUUAGAGAAGAGAUGGGGCACCCAAGCGCGGUGCUCCCAGAGGAGGCUGCCCUGGUAGUUAUUCAGGCUAAAAAUCUGCUGUCAACUUCUUUUUCUUUUAUUUCUUCCCCUUCCAACCCCCCCCCCCCCUUUUGUUUUUCCGCAGGACCAGCAAGGUGCUGGUGGGCUGAUUUGUUUGCUUUUAACCAGGCAUGAUGCGAAUUGUGGAAGCUUUCCAUUUACCUUUUCUUCUUGAAGCGUUUUAAUUAUCAUCACUGACCUGUUGGGCAUACCUACAGUAUCAAUGUCCCUUUUACAUCGCUGCCUUCCCUUUCUCUGCAUGUUUCUGCUAUUUAACACUUGCUACCUUUGCCAUUAGAGUCCUAGAGUGACCCCCAUGGGUAUCUUUGAAAGAAAGACCCUCUGCAUUCCAGCACUGCCUCUUUACCCAAGUAAUAGCAAAGGGACCAUUCAGACACAUGGACCACACUGAAGCAUUAAUUAGGCUGAUGAAAUCCAUAGAAAUGUAUGGAUUCAGCAUAAUCGAGUUUCUUCUGCUGACUAUAGUUAAGGAAUACGUGAGCAGCUGGGAGAAUAGAAAGUACUGUUAGGGUGAAGUCAUGCAUGUAAUUGAGUAUAUUUAACAUAACCAUUUUAAUGAUCGGUGAUUAAAAGUGCAUCUACUUAAAUUGUAUACCUCUGCAAUUUGUCCAUAUCAACUUUAGAGCACACACAAAGAAAAGGUCGUCAUAUAAAUUUAUAAACAAGAUCCCUUCCUGGCUACACAUGACUCGAGCUUCAUGAUAACAGCGGCGAUGGGGGAAAAGGCCUUUCGCGAGAGAACAGCUACGCCAGGGCGAUAUUAAUUAA